rnacentral:rRNA from 1 species
GAGUUUGAUCCUGGCUCAGAUUGAACGCUGGCGGCAGGCCUAACACAUGCAAGUCGAGCGGUAGAGAGAAGCUUGCUUCUCUUGAGAGCGGCGGACGGGUGAGUAAUGCCUAGGAAUCUGCCUGGUAGUGGGGGAUAACGCUCGGAAACGGACGCUAAUACCGCAUACGUCCUACGGGAGAAAGCAGGGGACCUUCGGGCCUUGCGCUAUCAGAUGAGCCUAGGUCGGAUUAGCUAGUUGGUGAGGUAAUGGCUCACCAAGGCGACGAUCCGUAACUGGUCUGAGAGGAUGAUCAGUCACACUGGAACUGAGACACGGUCCAGACUCCUACGGGAGGCAGCAGUGGGGAAUAUUGGACAAUGGGCGAAAGCCUGAUCCAGCCAUGCCGCGUGUGUGAAGAAGGUCUUCGGAUUGUAAAGCACUUUAAGUUGGGAGGAAGGGCAGUAAAUUAAUACUUUGCUGUUUUGACGUUUACCGACUAGAAUAAGCACCGGCUAACUCUGUGCCAGCCGCCG